AUGGGGCACUGCACAAAGCACUCACCUCCUGCUGUGGCACUGCACCGCUCCUCCUUCGGCUCCGGCUGCAGAGAGAGGGAUGGACAUGGCCAUGUGCUGCUGCUGUCCCAGCGCACUCUGCAUGUCGCACCUGCCCUCCUCCCCUCCUUUCUCAAGACCAUGUCUGGCCCCAGCGGGCUGCUCGAGUGUUGGAGUGGGCAGGGAACGCCCAGGGAAACCCCCCAGUGCCUUGGGAGAGGGGGCUGCAGCACAGUGGUGCCACACCAGCAGCCACAGCUGUGCUCACCUGGGGCCUUUUUGGCACCUCUGGCUGCGGCACCAUCCUCUCAAAGCCCUGCACCAGCCAGCUCAGCACGCGUGCUCCUGCCCUGCAGGGAGAGCAGGUGUGGUUGGAGUUCACCUGGAAUCCUGCAUCCCAUGUCCUGCAUCCCUUCAUCCCACACCUCACAUCCCACGUCUCACAUCCUGCAUCCCUCUAUCCCACAUCCCUCAUCCCUCCAACCCAUAUCCCGCAUCCCUCUAAUCCCAUGUGUGUCUAUCCCACAUCAUGUCAGACAAUCCCAAAUCCUGCAUCCCACAUCCAUGCCUACCUCAAAUCCUGCAUCCUACGACUCACGUCCCUCAUCCCACAAUCCCUUAUCCCAAAUCUCUCAUCCCACAAUCCUUUAUCCCACAUCCUUCAUCCCUCAUCUCACAACACUCCAUCCUAAAUCCAACAUCCCACAUUCCACCUCCUUCCAUCCCAUAUCCUACAUCACAAAUAACGCAUCCUACAUCCCCAUAUCCCACAUCUCUCCAUGCCAUGUCUGUCCAUCCUACAUCUCACACCUCACAUCUCUCUAUCCCAUAACCUGCAUCCCACAUCCCCUGUCUGCCCAUCCCAUAUCCCACAUCCCUCCACCAUAUGCCACCCCUCUGCCUGCUCAUAGGAUGCUGCAUACAGGGAACCCACCAUUCCUCCGUGCCCGUGCCCAAGUCGUCCUCCAGCUCGCAGCCAUCCAGCUCAUCCUCCUCAGGGUCAAAGGGUUUUAUCUCUGCAGGGAGAGCAGGAUCAGGUGUGCAGGGGCUGGCAACCAGAAGGGAACCUCAAACCGUGGGCUCAUUAUUCCCCUUACCCAGAGCAUCCUCAUCCUCAUCCUUGAGGACCUGCACCUCUGUCUGGAAAAGCAGAAAGUAUUACCUGGUGGGGCAAGGGGAGAAAUCUGCCCUUUGCCUAGAGUUGGGUGA
rnacentral:lncRNA from 1 species